GACGAACGCUGGCGGCGUGCUUAACACAUGCAAGUCGAACGGAAAGGCCUCUUUCGGGGGGUACUCGAGUGGCGAACGGGUGAGUAACACGUGAGUAACCUGCCCUUGACUUUGGGAUAACUUCAGGAAACUGGGGCUAAUACCGGAUAGGAGCUCCUGCUGCAUGGUGGGGGUUGGAAAGUUUCGGCGGUUGGGGAUGGACUCGCGGCUUAUCAGCUUGUUGGUGGGGUAGUGGCUUACCAAGGCUUUGACGGGUAGCCGGCCUGAGAGGGUGACCGGCCACAUUGGGACUAGGACACGGCCCAGACGCCUACGGGAGGAAGAAGGGGGGAAUAUUGCACAAGGGGUGGAAGCCGGAGGCAGCACCGCCUGGGGCGGGAGGACGGUUUUGGGGUUGUAACCCGCUUUCCCUCAGGAGAAAGCUUUGUGUGAGGGUGGUGGGUAAAGAAGCACCGGCUAACUACGUG
rnacentral:rRNA from 1 species